rnacentral:rRNA from 1 species
CGAAGGGGGCGAGCGUUAUUCGGAAUCACUGGGCGUAAAGCGUGCGUAGGCUGUUUGACAAGUUGGGAGUGAAAGCUCAGGGCUCAACCCUGGAAUUGCUCUCAAAACUGUCAGACUCGAAUCUCGGAGAGGAUAGCGGAAUUUCCAGUGUAGUAGUGAAAUACGUAGAUAUUGGAAGGAACACCAGUGGCGCAAGCGGCUAUCUGGACGAGUAUUGACGCUGAGGCACGAAAGCGUGGGGAUCAAACAGGAUUAGAUACCCUGGUAGUCCACGCUGUAAACGAUGUGUGUUUGUCGCUGGGGGGUUCACCCUUCGGUGACGGAGCUAACGCGUUAAACACACCGCCUGGGAAGUACGGCCGCAAGGUUA